GGACUGAAACAAAGAAGGCACCCAAGUCCAUAUAAGAUGCAAUGGCUCAAUGAAUGUGGUACACUUCGAGCAAGCAACAUUGUCACCGUUCAGUUUUCCAUUGGGAAGUACCGAGAUCAAGUGGAAUGUGACGUGGUGCCAAUGCAAGCAUGCCAAUUGCUGUUGGGAAGACCUUGGUUGUAUGAUCAUGAUGUGCAAAUCAGCGACCGUACUAAUCAUCUCUCAUUACAAUACGAGGAAGAGCGCAUAUCUUUGCUCCCUUUGACACCCGAAGAAAUAUUGAUGGAUGAUCUGAAAAAGAAAGAGAGAGUGAGCGAGAAACACUUGAGUGACAUCCACCAACAUAGUGAGCGAGAGAAUCCAAAGGCAAAUAAAACCCCAAAACUUAAAUUGACCAAGACAUGGGAAAAACAGGGAUUAGUUAUGAUGGCUAGGAAAACGGACAUGAGAGAGUUGAGAGAACCCAGUUCUGUGUUCUUUGUACUUUUGUACAAGGACAAUUUCCUUUCUACUAAUGAAUUAACCUCCAUCACUCCUAGUGUUAUUGUUGAAAUGUUGCAGGGUUAUGAAGAUGUGUUCCCCGAGGAGAUACCACCAGGGCUGCCACCACAAAGAGGCAUUGAGCACCAAAUUGAUUUGGUACCAGGAGCCCCAUUGCCGAACCGACCACCAUACCGCACAAAC
rnacentral:rRNA from 1 species